CUGUAAUAAUUGUGUCAGAGAAAUUUAAAACUGCCUCAGAUACCGGGCCAGCACCGCUGACGGGAGACCGUUAGUAGAAGCUUGUGUUGGUGGGAUCUGUGGUGGGGGCAUAACGACCCAAUUACUCUGAUAUCACUACUGUUUGAAAACUAAAAGGAGGGAA